CCGCAACUCAUUUGAAAGUGUUUGAAUACAUUUAAUGGCUUGCUUCUCGCCCGUGUAGGCGGAAGUGAAUUUAGUACGUUUUACGCAUGCGCAGAAAUAAACAGACUCGGACAACACGUGGAGUAAAACGAUGUGGAGCAAUAUCAUUGCAGUCUGUGAAAAGCGUCUUUCAACGGUCUUGACCGAGACAGAAAAGGAGCUGUAAACUUGGAUGAUUCUGUUUAAUUAGCGUAAACAUCAUGAACACGCUGCACGAGUUUCCGCGUGGUGUUCGCCCAAAAUGAACAUGGCAGUUUAAACCACUUCCGCCAAGACGAUUACGUAGGUUCCGCCCCGACUGAGUUGGACGAAGUAUGCCCUUCAUUGCAUUCAUGUACUCCACCCAGUUCAAGUGUGACAACCUCCCAGUCCAACACAAGAGUGUGAGCUGGACACUGAAACUGCAAACAACGGAUCAUAACAGAGUGCUUUGUAGUCAUUAUCAUACUGGUGAUUACAAUUCAAAAGUACAGCAUCAAAACAAAAUGUAACUUCGAGAGACAUGCGCACACGGCGUGGACACGUGCGGGGUGGGUAGGUAAAAGAGGCGUUCAAGGACACGCUUCUUUAGACAGGUCAACACUGUACUUGUUUAUUGAGUCAACGACCAACAAAAGUUAGGCCUCUUUCCACUCUUGAGUCAGUUAUCUUUUUGUGGUUUGAAAAUGCAAAUUCGAAUAAACUAAGAUUGCUUUAACACGA